AAUGCAGUGAGCAGAUCUUUAUCCAUCUGUCAAAAAAGAGGUCUAAAAACAGCUCCUUCGAAUGCUUUGGACUCCCCAGUGUAAAACUGUGUUUUAUAAUCACUGAAAGACACAUCUUCAUCCCUCAAUCUUGUUGUUGAAAGCUCUGAAGCUCAUCUAGAACACUAUUAGAAGGACUCAAAUAUAGUCUAUGCAAGUCUUAGUUUUCAUCAUAUUGAUAUUGCAGAUCCAGGAUCCAGAGCACUAUUAGUAAGAAGAUGCGAGUGAUAGCACUGGAUAAAUCUGAAGAGACAUGCACUAUAGUACUGUAUAUCCGAGAGCUACCAGUAUCAGAUGCUGAAGCAAGAACAGAAGAUCAAAGGAGCAUAGAAUGAUGUCCCUCAUUACUUGCCCAGACCCCAGCAAUUUAUAGGAUUUUUUUUUUCAUAGUUCUUAAAUUAAUUGUCUUCCAUGAUUUAGGCAACAUUGUGUUUCAGAUUAGAGUAAAUUUGUUGAUGGGCAUAGCCU